rnacentral:rRNA from 1 species
GGUUAAGCGACUAAGCGUACACGGUGGAUGCCUAGGCAAUCAGAGGCGAUGAAGGACGUGCUAAUCUGCGAUAAGCGUCGGUAAGGUGAUAUGAACCGUUAUACCCGACGAUUUCCGAAUGGGGAAACCCAGUGCAAUUCGUUGCACUAUCGUUUGAUGAAUACAUAGUCAAACGAAGCGAACCGGGGGAACUGAAACAUCUCAGUACCCCGAGGAAAAGAAAUCAACCGAGAUUCCCCUAGUAGCGGCGAGCGAACGGGGAGCAGCCCAGAGUCUUAAUCAGCAUUAGUAUCAGGAGAACGGUCUGGAAAGUCCGGCAGUAAAGGGU